rnacentral:ncRNA from 2 species
CACUCAUCAAGACCGACCGAGGGAUAGGCCCUUUGACGUCGGGGCAACCAUCGGUUUCCAGCCGAACGGUGCCAACUCCUGCGAGGACCCGUUUCGGCGGUUCCGCGAGAGAUGAGUG